GGAGAGUUAUAUUGACUCCAAGAGUAAGUUAUAAAAGCUACUCCAAAUCAUGACCUUUGAUUUUAAUUUCAAUUAAUGGCUAAGAUUGAUUGAUCAUAAAACACAAAGUGAGACUUUUUUUUUAUUGUAUUGGAAAAUUAUCAAAACAUACCUUAAAUAGAAGAGAAUGAAUCAAUUAUAAUCAUCAAUUGAGACUUAUUUUUUGAUCACAUGGGAAAACAAUGAUUCCACACACUCUGAAAUGAUGUAACACUAAUCGUUUGACAAU
rnacentral:lncRNA from 1 species